rnacentral:rRNA from 1 species
GACGAACCGUGCGAACGUUGUUCGGAUUCACUGGGCUUAAAGGGCGCGUAGGCGGGCGGCAUAGUCCGUGGUGAAAUCCCCCAGCUUAACUGGGGAAGUGCCGCGGAUACUGGCUGUCUCGAGGGGUGUAGGGGCAUGCGGAACUUCCGGUGGAGCGGUGAAAUGCGUAGAUAUCGGAAGGAACGCCGGUGGCGAAAGCGGCGUGCUGGACACCUACUGACGCUGAGGCGCGAAAGCCAGGGGAGCAAACGGG